AUUAAGGUCCUGCCUGCCCAGUGAAAUUUUAACGGCCGCGGUAUCAUAACCGUGCAAAGGUAGCGUAAUCACUUGCCCCCUAAAUAGGGGCCCGUAUGAACGGCUAAAUGAGGGCAAACCUGUCCCCUUAGACUACUCAAUGAAACUGAUCUAUCAGUACAAAAGCUGAUAUACACCCAUAAGACGAGAAGACCCUGUGGAGCUUUAAACUCAAACACUACCCUUAACCAACCACCCUGGCCCUGGCCAUAAAACACGCUCCAAAAUAGUGUUAGUUUUAAGUUGGGGCGACUGCGGAACAAAACAAAACUUCCAUAAUACAGGCUCCCCCCCAUCAAAGACCUACAAGUCAAAGAAAAACACCAUUGACCCAGUUAAUACUGAUCGCCGAACCAAGUUACCCCAGGGAUAACAGCGCCAUCCCCUUUAAGAGUCCCUAUCGCUAAGGGGGCUUACGACCUCGAUGUUGGAUCAGGACCCCCAGGUGGUGCAGCCGCUACCAAAGGUUCGUUUGUUCAACGAUUAAUGUCCUACGUGAUC
rnacentral:rRNA from 1 species